rnacentral:rRNA from 1 species
CGCGUAGGUGGUUCAGCAAGUUGAAGGUGAAAUCCCCGGGCUCAACCUGGGAACUGCCUCCAAAACUACUGAGCUAGAGUACGGUAGAGGGUAGUGGAAUUUCCUGUGUAGCGGUGAAAUGCGUAGAUAUAGGAAGGAACACCAGUGGCGAAGGCGACUACCUGGACUGAUACUGACACUGAGGUGCGAAAGCGUGGGGAGCAAACA